CAGAGAAACGAAACCGAAGCCGGGGCGGGGCGGAGCCGACACCGACCAGCUGGGAUUUCCCGGGCCUGGCGCGUCCCGUCGGGCCGAGCGUGUGGCCCCCGCUGGGCCCUCUGACCCCGAUGGGUGACCCUGGGGGUCUUGCCUGGGGCAGCAGGAAGGUCUGGCUCCCCGUGGCCAUCGCGGAACUCGCCAUCAUCCUCAUCCUGGUGGCCGGGCUGGGCCACUUUGUGGCCAAGGAGCAGUGGCUGCACAGCGACAUGCUGGGGCUGCGGGAGGAGAUGGCCAGUGCCAACUGGACACUGCAGAAGAAGCAGGAGGGUUGGGACUUGUGCCGGAACCACACGCACGUCCUGCAGAAGAAUGUCAUUAACCUGACCCAGGAGGUCACUCAGUUAAAUAGCGACAUUGCCCAGCAAGAAGUGGAAAAGGGCAGGUUACGAGAUGAAAUUAGCGCCUGGAAAAAAACAGCCCAGCAUCUCCAGGAGCAAAAGGAUCAGUACCACAGGGAGGUCAGCUGGCUGCAGCAGCAGCUCGAAAGACACCAGGAACUUCGCUCCAGUGUGGGCAGUGCCAGGCUGUCCAGCCUCCUGCCUCUGCUGGCAGCCCCCUUUGCUGCGCUGCUUGUCUGAACGGCGCCAGGCAGGGAGCAGUCAGCACCCAGGACUGAGUCCCCCAGCUGGGAAAGCAGGAAUCUCCCAGGGAAUAAGCAGCACUGGAUCCUGUGGCUGGCACACACUCUUCUCCGUGUGCUCUGUACUGAGUGAUCAGUGAGACUCCAAGCUGGCUCUUCCCUGGGCGUGCAUGUGGAGGAAGCCUCGUCUCCUGCCAGAGAGGGGAGCUGUGACAGAUGAGGGGGACGCAGUGACGGGUCCAUGGAUGGAGAUGACCCUAUGCUACAGUUUAGACAUGUCACCCAAAGCCCCAGAUGACUGUUGCAGCAAGUUGGGCCUGUGACAUCCUGCUUGGGUAGGAAACACCAGUGGACUGCCGACAUUUUUUCAGAGGUGGCCACUGAUUUGGGGUGACCGGUUUUGGGGUGCCCCGGCCGCCAUGUGAGUCACACCCAGUCUAGGACCCAGCAACAGCAUCAUCUGGUCUCACGCUUUUGUGGGGGGAUUAAAGUGACUAAUAAACCAGCCCUCGGCAGGGAGAACGUUUGCA
rnacentral:lncRNA from 1 species